rnacentral:rRNA from 1 species
AGGAUCAUUAUCAAAAAAUUCUUUUUAUUUUUUGAAAUAUCUUUUUCCAAUUUCCUUUGUGUACCUAUUCCAUGUUGCUUCCACUAGACUGGUAUCCAUUAGUAUUCUACUAAUGUAUAUGCCCUUCAUCCAUUUUUAAAACAAGUGGUUGAUGUAGUGUCGGUGGGUAGCCUUUAUUUAUAAAAAACUUGUUCUAAAAAACCUAGUCUGAUAUAUAAAGAUUAAAAAAAUAAAUAAAAACUUUCAACAACGGAUCUCUAGGCUCUUGCAUCGAUGAAGAACGCAGUGAAAUGUGAUAAGUAAUGUGAAUUGCAGAAUCUCGUGAAUCAUCGAAUCUUUGAACGCACAUUGCGCCCUAUGGUAAUCCAUUGGGCAUACCUGUUUGAGUGUCAGAAUCCUAUGACYGAUCAAACUUUUAUAUAUAUAUAUAUAUAUAUGUGAAGAUGUUUGGAAAAAACUUUGAGAAAAGUAGUAUUAUCAUAAGGUUACUUUCUUAAAAAUGAGAUAUAUAUUGUUUGAAUUUUCUCUUCAAAACUCAUUUUGUAUGAAAUAUAGCAAAUGAGUAAGGACUAAAAUCAAUACUUUUGGAUGACCUCAAAUCAGGUAGGGAUACCCGCUGAACUUAAGCAUAUCAAUAAGCGGAGGAAAAGAAACCAACAGGGAUUGCCUUAGUAACGGCGAGUGAAGCGGCAGAAGCUCAGAUUUGAAAUCUGGUGUCAUAUUGACAUCCGAGUUGUAAUCUGUAGAGGAGUUUUUUAGAGUAUUACUUUGGUUAAAGUUCCUUGGAAAAGGACAUUAUAGAGGGUGAGAAUCCUGUUUAUGACCUUAGUACUUCUCCAUCAUAAAUCUCCUUCAAUGAGUCGAGUUGUUUGGGAAUGCAGCUCUAAAUGGGUGGUAAAUUCCAUCUAAAGCUAAAUAUUGGCAAGAGACCGAUAGCGCACAAGUAGAGUGAUCGAAAGAUGAAAAGAACUCUGAACAGAGAGUUAAAGAGUACGUGAAAUUGUUGAAAGGGAAGCACUUGUGACCAGACAAAAUUGCAAUCAAUCAACCAUCACUAGUGGUGGUGCACUUGAUUGCAAGUGGGUUAGCAUCAGUUAUAAUAGUAGGAUAAAGAUCAAAGGAAUGUAGCUCCUCUUUGAGGAGUGUUAUAGCCUCUGGUUCAAUACUGCUGGCUAUAACUGAGGAUA